rnacentral:tRNA from 2 species
GCGGAAGUGGCGGAACUGGCAUACGCGUACGUCUCAGAAGCGUAUGGGGCAACCCUUGAGAGUUCAACUCUCUCCUUCCGCACUA